UAAGGAGUCACGUUAGUUGGUGCUAUAAAUUCUUCAAAGAACAUCCUCGAACGUGCAUCUUCGCUGGCGGCUACGAAGGAGCAUUGUUCGUGUUUCCAGACUUGCGCGGCUGCCAAGAUGAAGUACUACUCUUCACUCGUCGCUUUUCUUCUGGUGCCAGCCGUUAUCCUGGACCUCUUCGGGGGACUUUUGCCGGGUAAGGAUCCUUCACCUCCCCUCCUUGCUGACCGCUACUGGAAUACCUUCGGUUGACCAGACGUGUCUGCACCACCGGUUCUUUCAUGGUCGAAGGUCAAGUGGAAGCUAUCAAAUCAAGCAGCAAGUCAAAUUCAUCCCGGAGUUCAAAUGAAAGCCCUGGCUCCGGCAGCGUAGGCUGCCGGAGUCAGGGCUUUGGAGCCAGGUAGCCCAGGAGCCAGGGCUGCCGGAGCCAGGGCUCCGACCAAGUGGCACCUACUGCACCUGCCUGGGUUUUUAGCGCAAGUGUCGCGCCGUGAUGUCCUUGUUCACUGCGCUUCACUUGCACUGCCUUCUAUUACGUAUUUGGGGACAAAAUUUAUGGGAAUAAAGGUGCACCUUGCUUCAGA